rfam:Triticum urartu cultivar G1812 contig952003, whole genome shotgun sequence.
AAUAUACUCCCUCCGUCCCAAAAUAAGUGACUCAACUUUGUACUAAAGCUACUACAAAGUUGAGUCACUUAUUUUGGGACGGAGGGAGUACAUG